GCGCACCAGUCGCGAAUCCUCCACAAUGCACGAAAGUGUGAUGGGGUUACCCUGAGUGCCAUCCGAUGAGGAUGGCUUUUCACCAGUGUAAGGCGCUGGUGGAAUAAGGGGAGGGCAAGGCUGGUGCCAGCCGCCGCGGUAAAACCAGCUCCUCGAGUGGUCGGGAUGAUUAUUGGGCCUAAAGCGUCCGUAGCCGGUCUGGUAAGUCCCCGGUUAAAUCCGGCAGCCUAACUGUCGGCCUGCUGGGGACACUGCUAAACUUGGGGGUGGGAUAGGCUAAAGGUACUCCCAGGGUAGGGGUGAAAAUCCUAUAAGUCCUGGGGGGACCACCAGUGGCGAAGGCGUUUAGCUGGAACACGCCCGACGGUGAGGGACG
rnacentral:rRNA from 1 species